AGGCAGGAGACCCUGGAGAGCUGAUGGUGCGUGUGAAGUUCAAAGGCGGUUUGCAGGAGCAUUGCCUCUCACUUGAGAGGCCGGUCUUUCCAUUGUACACAAGCCCUCAACUGACUGGACAAGGACCACGCACUGUGUUAUGGAUGGCAAUCUGCUUUACUCAGAAUUCAGGGAUUUAAAUAUUAACCUCAUCCAAAAACAUUCUUGGCUUGUACAAUUAACCAUUGCAGGAGGUUAGCCAGGCCCUCCACUUUCAGAUGGCCAGUGACUGGUACAGGAUUCAAAGGGUCCAAGCAGGACAUCUUUAUGGACCAGAUUGAGGCUAGAUUUUACCUUAGAUUAUAUUGUUGCUUGGAUUUUCCCUUUUUCUAUUUAGCUUCCAUCUCUCUCUUACAGGCUUGUCAUAAGAAGCUGGCCCUCAAUAAUCAAUCACAUAAAACAUAACCAAAUCCUUGUCUCAGACUUUGCUUUUGGGGAAACCAUCCCAAGACAAUCACUAUUAGCCUCUGACUUGCUCCUGAAUCACUCCAUGCUUUUUUGGGUUUUCUUGACUCCUCUAUUUGUAUUUGUCUCGCCCAUGUGUUCUCCUAUUAUGAAUUGUGCCAUUCUGACUCUAGCUUCACCUGUCUGACAGAUUGCCCCAAACUCACUCUGCCCCUCCACAAAAUUUUCAUCUGAGGGUCGGGCUCCGUGAGUCCAAACUGAAAACCAGUUCUCUAAGGAAAUUUAAUNNNNNNNNNNNNNNNNNNNNNNNNNNNNNNNNNNNNNNNNNNNNNNNNNNNNNNNNNNNNNNNNNNNNNNNNNNNNNNNNNNNNNNNNNNNNNNNNNNNCAAACUGAAAACCAGUUCUCUAAGGAAAUUUAAUUUACUUAUAAAUUUCCAUCACAGGUUUUUGGUAUUUACUGGAACUGCAUUCAUAAUGAACGACAGUUACCUGGACCCUCUUUCCACAGCUGUAUUUGAGGUCCGAGAUCCCAGAAAGCCUUUUGGCAUAAACUACCUUAUGAUUUACCAAACCACCAGGAAAUCUUGAUUGUGAUGGGAAAGAAACAGAGGCAAAAAGAAACACAGACAAGUCAGACGAGAGAGAGAGUGGCAGAAGGGAAGAAGAAAUGAAAAAGAAAUGGAUAAAAGAAAUAAAUUGCUGUGCUUCAAAUUGGUUUAUAUUUAAUGAGCUACCAACUAUCUUAAAUCAGAAAUCCUAUUCUUAGAAGUUAAAAAAGAAUCUAUUCAAUGCCUGGAGAGCAGCACUGAAUAUCAUCUUCCAAAGACAUUAUUUCCUUUCAUGAAAGAGAGAACCCUGGCAAAAUAAAAUAUUUAAUUAAGGAACAUAUCAUUGUGUCAUUGAAUAAUUUUCCAAGACUAUUAUAUUUCUUCCUUUUUCACUUUGAUGAAGAACUAAACUUCCACUGUUUGUUAUUUGCGUUAUUUUAGUUUGUUCUCCUUUCUAUUUCCUGUUUUCUAAAUUCUUUCUGAGAAUAGGAUUUGAUUCAAGGUGGCUUUUAACUUAUUAAAUACAAAAAAAUAGAGAGAGAAGGCUCAGUAUUAUCAUAAAACUCUGUAUAUAUUCCAAGAUCCUGUUUCUCCAGACACUUUGAAGCAAGUGUGCCCCAAAACCUUACCACUCCCCCAAUCCACAAGUGCUAUGAAGUUCAGCUGAUUUCAUUUAAAAUUAACACACAUCCUCUGCACCUAAGUAUAGAUAUUGGUCCAUGGUGUCCUUUGUGGGAAGUUCAAGGCCUUUGUCAGCCCCUUCUUUAUCCCUUUCACCAAGAAAGGGACAAGCUCAUGACCACAACAAACUUUAGGUCAUCUUUCUCACACCUCUUCCCAAAACUGAUUAAGCAAAUCUGAAUUGUCAACUACUCUCCAAUUUACUGCCUCUCUCACUCCUUUUCCUCUGUAUCUUUCUUUCUUUGUCAUCAACGUUAACAUCCAAGAUAUGCAUGACAUAUGGGAAAGCACAUGAUGUGAUUUAAUCUCUCAUCUCUGGAAAACAAAACACCAUGCCACUGGGACCAGCCUAAAUGGCAAAAUUCUACAUUGAAGUUUGGAGGCAAAGUCCCAGUCAAUAAAAGAGCAUUCUGACAG
ensembl:lncRNA